UUGGGAAUAUUGGACAAUGGGGGAAACCCUGAUCCAGCAAUGCCGCGUGGGUGAUGAAGGCCUUCGGGUUGUAAAGCCCUUUUGGCGGGGACGAUGAUGACGGUACCCGCAGAAUAAGCCCCGGCUAACUUCGUGCCAGCAGCCGCGGUAAUACGAAGGGGGCUAGCGUUGUUCGGAAUUACUGGGCGUAAAGGGCGCGUAGGCGGCCGUGCAAGUCAGAUGUGAAAGCCCUGGGCUCAACCCAGGAGGUGCAUUUGAUACUGCAUGGCUAGAGUGUCGGAGAGGAUGGUGGAAUUCCCAGUGUAGAGGUGAAAUUCGUAGAUAUUGGGAAGAACACCGGUGGCGAAGGCGACCAUCUGGACGACAACUGACGCUGAGGCGCGAAAGCGUGGGGAGCAAACAGGAUUAGAUACCCUGGUAGUCCACGCCGUAAACUAUGCGUGUUGGACGUUGGCGAGCCUAGCUCGUCGGUGUCGCAGCUAACGCGUUAAACACGCCGCCUGGGGAGUACGGCCGCAAGGUUG
rnacentral:rRNA from 1 species